AAUCUGGAGACAGGUGCUGCAUGGCUGUCGUCAGCUCGUGUCGUGAGAUGUUGGGUUAAGUCCCGCAACGAGCGCAACCCUUGCCUUUAGUUGCCAGCAGUUCGGCUGGGCACUCUAAAGGGACUGCCGGUGUUAAACCGGAGGAAGGUGGGGAUGACGUCAAGUCCUCAUGGCCUUUAUGACCAGGGCUACACACGUACUACAAUGGCCGAUACAAAGGGCAGCGACACUGCGAGGUGAAGCCAAUCCCGUAAAAAUCGGUCUCAGUCCGGAUUGGAGUCUGCAACUCGACUCCAUGAAGUUGGAAUCGCUAGUAAUCGUGGAUCAGCAUGCCACGGUGAAUACGUUCCCGGGCCUU
rnacentral:rRNA from 1 species